UUCAGCCGGCACGUGCUUUCUAUAAAGGGGAAAGUAUUAGCAACUGUGCGUAGGUUGAUAAAGAUGUCUAUUAAGAUGCAGCGUGCCUUCUUAAGUAGUUCCAAUAAAAUAUAAGAUAGUUUGUUGCACGCCUCAUAGCGCGAAGCGCAUGAGGUAGUGCUUUACUCCCGACUCGUCAAGGUCAAGCAAUUUUGUGAUCUU